GUGCAUACAUAAUCACACAAGUUUGUAAGGACGUAUCAACAAUUAUUAAAGCAACAAGGAGGAUUAUAUAUUUGUGACAGGACAUGUCAAGAGGCGUGCACUUUCUUUUUUGGAUUAACAUCAGUAGUGGAACAGUCAUGUCUAAAUUCUGCAAUAAGUAGAGGCGUAGGAAAAGAGGACAUGAUUGAUAUAUUCUUUUUAGAAAUUAAAUCAAUUUGUAUGGAUGCUUUAUCCCACAGUUUUGUUUUGUGACACAAAUGGAUAUAAUAGGUGUCAUGUCGUCCUCCAGUUCAUAAAAACACAGGCAUUUUGUGCUACAAAUUUGCUUUACGACCGUUCUCCCGUACCCCCCCCACGCACCAAUCACACUAACUUAUUACAAAUGUCUACUUCUUUCCCAUAAUUAAAUACUUGCGGUUUCUGAUAACUGGAAACGGAAAAAGGAAAAACAUUCACACAGACCUAUUGGCAUGUCAAACAAAGUAUUAUCAAACCAAAUAUCGCUCAACUGUUUAUGAUUUUAAGGAAUGUCAGAUAAAGCUAUAUCCAAAAUUACAAUUCAGAAUCUGUUCAAAGCCAUCUAAUUAAUGGAAACUAUUUUUAAGUGAUCAGAAGUCCC